rnacentral:rRNA from 1 species
UACGAAGGGGGCUAGCGUUGCUCGGAAUCACUGGGCGUCAAGGGUGCGUAGGCGGGUCUUUAAGUCAGGGGGGAAAUCCUGGAGCUCAACUCCAGAACUGCCUUUGAUACUGAAGAUCUUGAGUUCGGGAGAGGUGAGUGGAACUGCGAGUGUAGAGGUGAAAUUCGUAGAUAUUCGCAAGAACACCAGUGGCGAAGGCGGCUCACUGGCCCGAUACUGACGCUGAGGCACGAAAGCGUGGGGAGCAAACAGG